AACGAACGCUGGCGGCAGGCCUAACACAUGCAAGUCGAGCGCCCUUUCGGGGGAGCGGCGGACGGGUGAGUAACGCGUGGGAAUAUGCCCUUCUCUACGGAAUAGCCUCGGGAAACUGAGAGUAAUACCGUAUACGCCCUGUGGGGGAAAGAUUUAUCGGGGAAGGAUUAGCCCGCGUUGGAUUAGGUAGUUGGUGGGGUAAUGGCCUACCAAGCCGACGAUCCAUAGCUGGUUUGAGAGGAUGAUCAGCCACACUGGGACUGAGACACGGCCCAGACUCCUACGGGAGGCAGCAGUGGGGAAUCUUAGACAAUGGGGGCAACCCUGAUCUAGCCAUGCCGCGUGAGUGAUGAAGGCCUUAGGGUUGUAAAGCUCUUUCAGCUGGGAAGAUAAUGACGGUACCAGCAGAAGAAGCCCCGGCUAACUCCGU
rnacentral:rRNA from 1 species